AACGGGAAUAGUUUUCAACGUCUGUUUCAUUCCCUGCUUCAGAGGACCUCUUUAAUCUUUGAUUUUGGUCCCUGUUUCUAAGAAAAGCAACUGAAAAGGUCGUAAUACCGCCCCUGAGAAAAAAGGAGCAGCGCUAAGUAAUCGAGAAAAUGCCUCCUCUUGAAACGGAUAUAGAGAUGGAAACAAGAUAUAAGAAGGAUUGAGAAUCAUAUAAUACAGGAGCUUAAACACCUAUGCGCGAUGAUAAAGAGGGUAAUAUUAGAGCGCUUGGAAAAUACCAGGAAGUUGAGAGAGUUAACAGAAGGGCGCACGCUGGAUUGGCCACAAAAUCGAAUUACUGAAAGUUGCUCCUUGUCCUUAUAUGAAGUAGAUUCCAGACCUCACAAUUGUAUAUGCCUACCCUUCUACUCCAACGCCUCAAAAAAAGAGGAAGAAUGAAAGCAUG
rnacentral:lncRNA from 1 species